ACGAACGCUGGCGGCGUGCCUAAUACAUGCAAGUCGAACGCUUCUUUCCUCCCGAGUGCUUGCACUCAAUUGGAAAGAGGAGUGGCGGACGGGUGAGUAACACGUGGGUAACCUACCCAUCAGAGGGGGAUAACACUUGGAAACAGGUGCUAAUACCGCAUAACAGUUUAUGCCGCAUGGCAUAAGAGUGAAAGGCGCUUUCGGGUGUCGCUGAUGGAUGGACCCGCGGUGCAUUAGCUAGUUGGUGAGGUAACGGCUCACCAAGGCCACGAUGCAUAGCCGACCUGAGAGGGUGAUCGGCCACACUGGGACUGAGACACGGCCCAGACUCCUACGGGAGGCAGCAGUAGGGAAUCUUCGGCAAUGGACGAAAGUCUGACCGAGCAACGCCGCGUGAGUGAAGAAGGUUUUCGGAUCGUAAAACUCUGUUGUUAGAGAAGAACAAGGACGUUAGUAACUGAACGUCCCCUGACGGUAUCUAACCAGAAAGCCACGGCUAACUACGUGCCAGCAGCCG
rnacentral:rRNA from 1 species